CCUACCCCAGGGGCAGCUGCAGACCCCAAAGCCAGGCACGUGCUGAGGGCCCGAGUAGGUCAAGGGGCUCCGGCCCUGCCCCCUCACCAAGCCUCCAGUGUCCAAUGGGGCGUGGGAGCCUUCAGUAACUGUUUACACCCAGCUAAAAAUACUCACUGAAAAGGGAAGUGCACAAGAGACCUGGGGGAACUCGGGGCCUUGGCCCCCAGAGACACUAGUCUUGCCACAAGCCCCAGCUGGACCCUCUGGGGGUGGGGCAGUCACUGGAGGCAACAGGCACUAGAAAGGUCCACUUUUCCAUCUCAUUCUUGGAUCCAUUGUUUUUUGAACCUUUCUACAUGCCCAGCCUCAGGCUUGGUCGGCUUGGAAUGGGCAGGAGAUGGAGGAAAGGGCCCGGGCAGACUGCCUCUGGGGUUCCAAGAACUUCACCCAUCGUGCUCUCCUGUGCCCAGCCCAGGCUGGGUAUUGAGGACCCCAACAAAAAGCCGAGCUGGUUCCUGUUCUCCAUCCUGGCUACUGGACAGUCCACCAUUGCCUAGUGUGCUCAAUGCCUCAAUAGACAGAGGAGAGAAGGGGCUACGGGGAGAGGCUCCCAGGAAGAAGGGGGAGCAGAGGUGGAGCUGGCCCUGGAAGGAUUUCAGGUGGAAGCACAGGGGUGGGGCACCAGGAUUAAAUUAAAUGGUGCUACAGAGGGUAGAAGGACCCUGUGGCACAGUGGUUAAGUGCCUGGCCGCUAAUCAAGAGGUCAGCGGUUCGAGUCUUCCAGCUGCUGCUCUGCGGGAGAAAGAUGUAGCAGUCCGCUUCUGUAGAGAUUAUAGCCUAAGAAAUCCAAUGGGGCAGUUUGUACUCUGUCCUAUAGGGUUGCUAUGAGUCAGAAUCGACUAGAGGGCAAUGGGUUUGGUUUUUUUUGCCGGGGGGGGAGGUUCACAGAGGGUGGGAGGUGCAAUGGUUAAGUGCUUGGCUGCUAACUGAAAGGUCAGGGGUUCUAAGCCACAAGCCGCUCCGAGGGAGAAAAGACCUGGUGAUCUGCUCCCAUAAAGAUACAGCCUAGGAAACCCUAUGGGGUAGUUUUACUCUGUCCUGUGGGGUUGCUACGAGUUGGAAUCAACUUAAGGACACACAACAACAGAGGGUGGUACAGAGGUUGCUACAGCUGAACAGGGCUCAGGGUGGGAGUCACAGGAGGCUUUGAACGCAGGCCCUGAAGUUUCCUACAGGUCACAGGAUAGCUACCCACAGGAUUAGAUUUCAGGUUUGGGAACACCCCCGUGAAAGGGCAGUGUUCCUGAGGGCGGGGUGCCCAAGAGCAGUUGGGCUGGUUUGGCAGCAACAGACUCAGCCCCACCCCUGGUUCUGCAGCACCUUCCCUGGCAGAGGGCACUCAGGCUGCUGGCACUGGGACAUCCCCAGCCACACAGCAGGCAGCACCCUUAGAGGGCUCCCACUGACCCCAGCACCCCCAGCACCUCCACCGCCCAGAUGUCUCAGGGCCCGGGAGCAGCCGAAUUAUUUGCGAGACCCUCGGAGAUGCCAAAACACCCCUAGGGGCCAGGGGAGGGCUGGAAGGAGACCCUACUUUGGCUCCUAUGUGCUCCCCCGGCCGCUACCCACCUACCCCACCCCGGGAUCCCUGAGUCUCCAGCACCCCCGACCUAAGGGGAGAGGCAAAUUCAUUGGCUGAAAAAUAUUAAAAACCAAAUUACGGCAACUCACUGGCUUUUCUCCUGGCCCCAAUGGCUCAGUGGGACCGGAAAUCCCGUCAAGCGGUUUGGGAGAGGUGGGGGCUGGGGUUAGAGGAGGUUAAUGGGGGAGCCUCCUCCCCCAUGAACGCUGCAGCUAGAGGCUGCUACUCCUGGCCCAGAAAGGUUUCUAAUUACCGCUCAGGAACCUAAUUACUGCCACGCGCUGGGCAGCGGGGACUCCAGGCCUCCCCAGGGCCCUCACCCAGGCCUCUGCUCCCUCAGCAUCCCCAGGCGCAGGCUAUCGCCUUUGCAUAUUCAUUUGCAUACAAUUUACGUGUAGCCUCACUGCACCUGAGCUCCAACAAACCCUUAAAAAUCAAGUGGUGUCCUUGUCCCUCACCCUAACAUCCCCUAAUCACUUUAUGGAUGAGGAGACUGAGCCCCAGAGGCCCAUGAGUGGUCUAGAACUUGGGCCCCAGACUCCUGCUCCCCAUCUCCGGGCUGGGAUGGGCAGAACACUCAGUUCAGAAAGUAAAAGCUACGGACUCAUCAAAAUGGACAUACACACUUGCUCCCCACUGGAGGGACAAAGAGGGAGGGGCUUAUCAGCAAGCUCCCUCAGUAGGCGGAGCUGUGAAAAUGAAAGUAUGGGAGUAAGCGCCCACGGAGCCAGCCCCAGCCCCGCUGUGCGGCAAGUACAGACAUCCUUGUGUGAUCGAGGACAAGGACAGGGUCACUCAACUUCCAAGGGGUAAAGCGGGGACUUGAGCUCAGAACUGUCUGAACUUUGGUCAGGAGAAAACCCUCCAACCUUUCCCUGGGCCCAGCCUGAAAGUGGACAGAGAUGGACAGGGGUGCUAGAGACAAGGGGGCUGGGUAGGCACCUGAGGUGAGGUCCGCCUGGAACUUGGCCCCAGCUCUAGGAAGCAUGGAUUAAAUCUGUGCCCACUCCUUGCUGGUCUGCUGUACCCUGCGUAACACAGACAGACCAAGAGCUUGUCCAAGGCCACAUAGCAACUAGAGAAUAGAGAGGCCAGCAGCCCUGGAGAGGGCAGAAGCUCCAAGUAAGGACCUCGCUUCCUCAAAUGCUUCUUGAUUUUCAUGGGCCCUCCCCCUCCAGGAAGCCCUCCUGGUUGCUCCAGCCCACGCAGAUCACCAGCUUUGAACUCUUACCAGCCCUGCCGGAAGUCGGAGCCACAGGCCUUCCCUAAUUGACUCCUCUGAGUCUGGUCUCUACUGGUUCUUCAUUCUCCCCUAUGAUCUCCCUGCAGUGUGGACAGCACAGGACACAGAUGCAUGGGGCUGGGUGAGGACCAGGUGCUCAGCUGGCCAGGGGUCAGGUGACACCCAGGCUUUCCCUGGCCCACAGGGUUCCAACCGUGCUGGAAGCACAGGCAGGGGGGCACCACAGCCUUUCCUGCUCUUUCCUUGACUCCUCCUCCGGGCCCAGACCAGGGAAGGGGAGGGGAGAGGCAGAGGGAAGCUGCGGUCAGAGGCCUAGCCCCUGCCAAGGCGUACAUAGCUCAUGUGUGAUGAGAAGCUGUCCCCCUCACAACACCUCAAAACCAGGAAGAGAAACCCAUUAGGCGGAAAAGGUGGGCUGGGCUGCCUGGGGUACUCCAGCCCCUGGGGACCUGCCAAGGGGUGCUCCUCAGGUAUGGUGUGGACAGUCCUGGACAAACCACUUCUCCCUCUGGGCCUCAGUUUCCCCAUGGGAGAAAUGGGACUCUCUAUUGGUCCUGCCAGUCUACCUCCAAUUGGUGCAGUCUCCAACCAAUGGUGCUACACAGUACCUGAUAACCAAGUAUUCAAUGGGUGGUGCUCUUCUGAUCCCCUGGUGGGCUUCAGCCCCUAACAGGGAGCAGAGACUCAGCCUAAGGCCAACCUCUCCCUGCUCGCUUCUCCCCUCAGCCAUGCAGGGAGCAUACUAGCUCUUUCUUCACCAGCUCUUUAUUUUUAGGUUUGAAUUUGACUUUAAUCAUUACUUAGCGGAUUCUAUUUCCAGCUCUCAGAUGAAGGGACCCAGAGGAGAGGAAGAAGGGAGGUAGUGCUCCCUGCCUGGCAUGGGGGCAGCCUGCUCCUCCACCCAUCCUGUCCCCCAGCCAAGAGGGGGAGGCUGAGAAACACCCAAAGGGCUCACCCCAGCCAGACCAGUAUCUUAGGGAGGACUCCACCCUGUGACCUCAUCCCAGCCCAAGCUGUGAGAGAGGAGGGCAGCUGUAAUGCCCACUUCCCCUGCCCCAAGAGCAGAAGGGAGGGAGCACCCCACAGCCAAAAGUCUGCAGUCACUGGCCUGAGGGGCUUCUGCAGUGAAUGGGCCCCUCGGGGAGGAGGACCCUCUGCCUAGGUUAGUCCUGGGUCACUAGGAGGGUGCCAAGCUGAGAAAUGAUUUUCUCCCACUGCCUAUGGGGCAACUCCAGGAGGCCCCUUCCAGUUACUCUGGUCACCACAGAAGGCAGAGCAAGAAGAAGCAAGACUCUGCAGACCCUCUAUGUUCCCUUGAACUCCCCACUGGAAGGCUCUAGAAUCCGCCAGCUUUCUUCCCUCCUCUGGCCACUGGGAAAGGGAGGAUAUUAGUCCAUGAGUAGUUUUCUUGUAGUGAACCUGCUUCCCUGGGACCUGCCUGCCCUCCCGCUCUGGCCUUGGUGUUUUGGACCUCGACAAAUGACGCCUGCCUCUUCUGCAGUGGGACAGCCUCUGGGACGCAGAACAGCCCCCAGACAAGAAGAAAAAUGAAGUCUUGAUAUAUGCUGCAAUAUGGAUGGAGCUGGAAGACAUUAUGCUGAGUGAAAUAAGUCAAUCACAAAUGACAAAUAUUCUAUGGCCUCACUUACACAAAAAGACAAGAAAACGCAAAUGUAUAGAGAACAAAGUUUAUUAGUGGUUACCAUGGGCAGAAGGGAGGUGAAAUGGGGGUCAAUAGUGAUGAAAAAAUCACGUUGAUUAAGGGUAGGGGUGCAGAGCUGACUAUUAUAAUUGUUGUCAUUAAGUUGUACACCUAUAAAAAGCUGAAUUGGCAAAAUUUGUGUGAUAGAUUUAUUUACAACGAUGACCCAAAAAUAAAUAAAUAAAUACAUAAAUAAGAGUAGCUGCUGAGGCUGCUUAAGUACAACCAAAAACCUCAUGGGAUUUGCUUCCUUGGUUUGAAGGUUUAGUGUCACGGUUUCAUGGGAUAUCCCAGUUAAUUGGCCUAAUGUGUUUAGUGCUUCUGUUCUACCUCCUAGUUUGUUGCAUGGUGCCAUAGGGUCUUAAAAGCUUGCAGAUGGCCAUCCAAGGCACAACAAUUGGUUUCUAUUCACCUGGAACAGCAGAGGAAAAAGGGAGUCAGGAAUAGAAGGAGGAUAUGGAAUGUGUGGCUAUUUGCCUCCAUGAACAACUGCCUUCUUUGCCAUGAGACCAGAAGAACUAGAUGGUGCCCAGCUACCAUUAGUGCACAUUUUGAUCAAAGAUUCCACAGAAGAAUCCUGAUCAAAAGGGGGAAAAUAUAGAACAGAAUUUCAAAGUCUCAUGGACUCCAGACUUCCUGGAGCCAUGAAGGUUGGAUGAACCCCUGAAACUACUGCCCUGAGAUAAUCUUCAAACUUUAAACCGAAAAUAUUCCCUGAAGUCUUCUUAAAGCCAAACAAUAACCCAAACCAAACCUGCUGUUGUCAAGUCGAUUCCGACUCAUAACGACCCUAUAGGACAGAAUAGAACUGCCCCAUAGAGUACCCAAGGCUGAAAUCUUUACGAAUUUCUCCUAUAGAGUAGCUGGUGAGUUUGAACUGCUGACCUUUCGUUUAGCAGGUGAGCGCUUUAACCACUAUGCCUCCAGGGCUCCUAAAAACAGUAGUUUACCUUAACUAGUAAAGAAUGUCUGCCUUGGCAUUAUGCUCUUUUAAGAACUAUCUGUAUGGGAUCAAACUGACAAGAGUAACUAAAAGAUCAGAUAGGAACCUUAGGGGCAGUGAGUUUAUGUUAAUGAGGGAGGAACAACUAAGAAAAGGAGUGAGAGAAUGGUUGUACAACUCGGAGAACGUAAUCGAUGUCACUGAAUUGUAUAUGUAGAAACUGUUGACUUGGUGUAUGGUUUGCUGUGUAUAUUGUCCACAACAACAGCAGCCAUAAAAAUUCCUAAAUAUCCCCUACUCCCGUUACUGUUCCUGAUGAAAGCUUGCUAAUGUUAUAAAAAAUAAUCACAAAGGACUUCUGGAGUGUAAUCCAGUUUUCUGACCCUAAAUUACCCACAUCUCUAAAGUGAGAAUAAUUGUAGCACCUCUUUUAUAGUAAUAUUCAUGAGAAUUAAAAAAAAAAAAAAAAGAGCUAUCCUAUAUGGAAUCGAAUUGAUAACAGCAACUCGAGAGAUUAGGUAGGAACCUUAGGGGCCAGUGAGCUUAUGUUAAUGGGGGAGGAGGGACUCAGAAAAAAGAGGGUGAAAAUGGUAGCACAACUCGAAGAAUAUAAUCGAUGUCAUUAAAUGGUACAUGUGGAAACUUUUGACUUGGUGUGUGUUUUGCUGUGUAUAUUCUCAACAAUAACAAAAUAAGUAAAAUUUAAAAAAAUACACCAAUUUAACAAUUUCUAUAUGUGCAGUUCAGUGACAUUGAUUUAAUUCUUCAAGUUGUGAAACCAUUCUUGCCCUCCUUUUCUGAAUUAUUCCUCCUCUGUUAAAAGAAACUCACUGCCCCCUAAGCUUCCUAUCUAACCUCUCAAGAGACAGUUGAUCCCAUGCAGAUAGUUCUUCGAAAGAGCAGUGUGCAGUGGUUAAGUGCCUGGCUGCUAACCAAAAGGUUGGUGCUUUGAACCCCUAGCUGCUUUGUGGGAGAAAGAUGUGGUAGUCUGCUUACAGCAGUGGGUUUGGGUCUUUUUGAUUAUUGUUUGGUUUAAAGAAGACUUCGGGGGAUAUUUUUGGUUUAAGGUUUAAAAAUUAUCUCAGGCCAAUAGUUUUGGGGGUAUUAUGGAUUGAAUUGUGUCCCCCCAAAAUGUGUGCCGACUAGGCCGUGAUUCCCCGUAUUGUGUGGUUAUCCUCCAUUUUGUAAUCUGAUGUAAUUACCCUAUGUGUUGUAAAUUCUGUGAUGUUAACCUCAAGGAUGUUAAUGAGGCAGGAUUAGAGGCAGUUAUGUUAAUGAGGCAGGACACAAUCUACAGGAUUAGGUUGUAUUUUGAGUCAAACUCUUUUGAGAUAUAAAAAAGGGAACAGAGAGGAGAGGAACCUCAUAACACCAAGAAAGAAAAGACAGGAGUAGAACGUGUCCUUUGGACCUGGGGUCCCUGUGCUGAGAAGAUCCUAGACCAGGGGAAGAUUGAUGACAAGGACCUUCCCCCAGAGCCAACAGAGAGAGAAGUCCUUUCCCUGGGUCUGGCAUCCCAAAUGCAGACUUCUAGCCUCCUAAACUAUGAGAGAAUAAACUUCUGUUUGUUAAAGCCAUCCACUUGUGAUAUUUCUGUUACAGGAGCACUAGAUAACUAAGACGGGGGUUCAUCCAGCUUCAGCGGCUCCAGAAAGUCAGGAUUCCGUGAAAAUUUGAAAUUCCGUUCUGCAUUUUCUCCCCUUUGGAUCAGGAUUCUUCUAUAGAAUCUUUGAUCAAAACACUGAAUCAUGUUUGUCAAAGGUCUCUCUGGUUGUUGUUGGGGGCAGAUGGGGCGAGAGUGACACCAAGAGAGCAGUGAGGAAGCUGGUGCCAUUGUCCAGGCCAAUGAUGAUGGGUGUGUGCUCUGGUGGAAGCGGUGCAGACAGAGGAAAGUGGAUGGAUGUUGGAGAGUCAAGUGACAGCUCUUGGUGAUGGGCGGUGUGUGGGGAGUGAGGCCACAGGAGAAAUCAGGCUGCCCCCUUACCUGGACAAGGGUGGUGCCCUUCACUGAGAUAGGGAGGACCUCUGUACAGAGGCAGACUUGGGGUGGCAUCCAAGAGCUUGAUUUUGGACCAACUGCGUAUGAGAUACCUAUUAGAUGUGGAAAGGUGAAGUCAGCAUUUGGAACCUCGUUUUAUAGACACCCACUAAGUAUUCAAGGCUCAGAACACAAGAAGAAUUUUCCUCUAGUCCCACCACCAGGACUUGGGUCCCGGUCUGAGGACCUCCAAAGCAUGAAGUACUGAGUAGCCUCCCUACCCCACUUUAGGAAAAGAAAUCAUCAGAAGAGGGUCUUAUGGGUCUUAGGAUUUUGGAGGAGGUUUUUUUUAAGAGGAGCCCUCUUGGAGCCAGGGAAGCUCAGCACUAGCUUCCCCAGGCUGGGAUGCUCGCCCCUGGCCUGUUGGGGGCUGGGGGCAUAAGAGUGAGGAGAGGCUGAGACUUGCUGGGUGUGGGCAAUGGAGCAUUUUGACCACACAGGCCAGCUGGGCUAGCUCUAUGCAAAGUUGGGUUGGUUGCCGGGGGAGGUGGGGGGGCAGUUCAGAGCUUAAGCACUUCUAUGGCUGGACUGGGUUCCCCAGUCCCUGGGGAAACGGAGGGCCUGCUCUCCCUUCCCAGCUUCCUCCCCUCCCCCCAACCUCUCUGCUCUGAGAUGACAGUUUAGAGAAGCUGGUGUGAAAUAGCUUGAAACUCAGGCCGGUUGGGCCGUCCCUCAGGGCAGAAAACAGGAAGCCAAGAUUAAAGGCAGAUUUUCAGCAAAGCCCCCUUCCACUUCCUGUAGAGCAGGUGCUGGGGCUGAGCUCGGGAGCUCUGAGCUCAGAGCUCGCUGCAAGCAGAGGGGUGGGCCAGCUCUGCUCUGUCAGCACAUCUGUCUGAGUGGGACACAGAAGUGGCACCCGCAGCAGGCAGCAGUGGCCCUCAGCUCUGGGAGCUGUUCUUUGGCCCUGUCAUCACCACUCCCACCAGGGAGCUUCUGCCCAGGCCCCUGGGAAAUGAGUCUCUUCCAAAAAGAGGCAGUGGAAGGUGGAAGAAGAGGCCACUGGGAAAGAGGCCCAGUGGGGGCACAGACAGGAACCCUGGGGGCAGCCUGGAGGGAGCAGGACAAGCGGAUGGGGACCAAGUGGGGUCAGCCAGGCCUGGUGUGACUCUUACUUCCCUGCCGUGGAGUCUCACUGACCUGUGAGGGUGGGUGGAGAGGUGAAAGUGGUGAAAAGUGUGGCUUAAGGGAAGGGUGGCCAGGGGGACUAGACCAGUGCUGGAAGCUGAGGAUCCCUGGAGAAGGGCAGGAGGCAGGGGAAAUCGAAUGCCCACAGUGGCCCCUGCUGUCUUAAUGCCAGGUGUCGGCUGCUGGCUGGAUGGCUGAGCUGACACCGCAGCUGUUGAAAGCCCAGGGGAACUAGGGGCUAGGACCUCUUCCCCUUCCUGACCCACAGGACAGCAGGCCCCCAGGACCCCAUCAAGUCUGGAAGCUGAAUCAGCCUCAUGCAGAGGCAAACCUCUCCUCCCAGAUAACACCUCUUCCUCUGCUUAAGGAGCCUGAACCCCUACCCGUAGAAAGCUGUCCUUGGGAGAAAGCAUUGCCCUCCUGAAUCCAGGGGGGCAUCACAUAUGGAAACCCACACCCUGUCCCCUCGAGCCAGAUUGAUUUAUCGUGAGGAUGAGGCGUUGGCCUGGGAGAGCCAGGCCUAGGGCUUGCUUCUGACUUUGGGCAAGUGCUCCAGCUCUGGCCUCUAUUUCCUCCCCUGUGAACAGAGGGUUGCAUUUCAUGAUUUGCAGCUCUGAGUCCUUUGUACACGAGUGGAGGGCCCUGGGCAGCUGCAUGGGGGUGGGAGGCUGCCAACUGCCUCCAGCUUCUGUCCCCUUCAUAUCCUCACUAUUCUGAGCCCCUGCUAUAGACAGGCAGCCCUUGAUCUAGCUCAGUUGGGACCAGGGAGCUACCAUUUACUAAGUACCUACUAUGUGCCAGGUACUUUAUUAUUAUUACUAAUGAUAUUUCCAGUUGCCUUCUAUUCCAUUCUGAUUCAUGGUGACCCCACGUGUGUCAGAGUAGAACUGUGCUCCACAGAGUUUUCAAUGGGUGAUUUUCCAGAAACAGAUCACCAGGCCUUUCUUGUGAGGCACCUCUGGGUGGGUUCAAACCACCAACCUAGUAGCUGAGUGCUUAACUGUGCCAGCAGGGACUCCUUCUAAUGAUAAUAGCUAAUAUUUUUGACCAUUUACUAUGCUUGUGCACUUUUCUUGUCAGAUUAGGGUCAGUUCUCUCCACUGCACCAUUUUGCUCCAAGGGAAUUUCCUAGAAAAUUAGUCUUUGUCUUUGUUACGAUGGUGGUAGAAAUCCUAGUAGUUGGUGGUUUGGUGGCCUUGUGGCUUUAGCAGUGUUAGCGGUGGCGGUGACCCAAUAGAGAAGCCAUUGAGACUGGAGGACCUCACCCCUGCGGCCUGAGGCAGCUUGCACCUGGGGCCUCCCCUACCCAGCACUGGUGGUUAACUGGCUGAUCCCCUGACCUCAAAGGUCAUGGGCCUGGGCUCCCUGAUUUGGUAUCUUCCUCAAAUGGGCAGAUCCAGAGCCACGCCCAUGACACAAAUUGUUUGGGGUGCCAGGCAUCCCUGCAAACUCUCUCAGUGCUUCCCCCAUGCACAUAUUUCUCUCCUCGGGGUCCCUGUCUUCCUGGAAGAUUCUGGAUGUUAAACAAGAUGGUAAGAGUUACCAGGAGGGAGGAGCAGAUGCAAUGUGAAUGAGGAGCAGAGCAGCCCUCCUCCUAAGUGUAAGCAGUCAGACCCUGCGGGAGGCAGACAGAAGCCACAGCAGGAGCAGGGGCCCUGCGGACAGCAGGGGUUGAGCCCAGGGAGAAGGGGAAGCAGGCCAGGAUGAAGCAGGCCAUGGGGAGCAGAGCCCUGUGAGCAAAAAGAGGCUAGAGCUUGUAGGGCCUCCUGGGGCCCUUGGGAGUCUUUGGAGUCCAUCUUCAGGGCCAAGGAACCCCAAGAGUGAAGGAUUUUACCAGUCUUGGCUGCUCAGAUUUGCAUUUUAAAACUAUCGACGAUCCUGCUUCUG